AUAAAUAAAAGGACAUACACACCUAUAUAUUCCAGACAGGGGCCUCGUAUGGGCCCAUGAAGAUAUGCUGGGCACCAAGGCACAUGAUUAACUCAAUUGUUGGGAAAAUUUUUUAAAUGGGUGGAGCAGAAUGUGUGCUACAUAUAUGUACACAAACAUGCACACACACAUGCACAGUUGUUUUUUUUUUUCCUUCAUCGAACUAGCCCAUUGAUGGCACAUAAUAGCCCUGAGAAAUAGUAACUGAGUAAUUGACUGAAACACCCUCCUACCCCUCUGUCUCAGUGGAGAUGCUUUUCUAUUCUCUCUACAGAAUAAGUUCCGUAGAGAGAAUAGACUCUAUUGGCUGGAAUUUGAAAACUGUUUCACGCACACAACGUCCUUAUAACAGAUACACACGCUCUCAACUAGGCCAACUGACUUGCCUCCAGAACUUAUUGCCUGUAGCCUCCUUCCAAAACACAUGUGUAGGGUUCAGGGAAAGAAAUUUUCAGAGUAGUGCACGGCAUCUAGUCCUCAGCAUUCCAUCAUUUUAUGAGCAAUAGCUUCAAGCCUCUUUUGCAAACGGUCUUCUGCAACCAUCCUUUCCUUACAGAGCCUUUGUUAUUCAGACAUUUAAACUAUGUAAUGGUCUCAGGUGAGGGGCAGGUAGAUAGAUGGGAGAUUGGUAGUUCUCAAACUCAAGCAUGUAUCAGAAUCACCUAGAGACCUUAUUUAAUGCAGGUUAGUGGGCCCUAUUCCAAGACUGUCAAUCAGUAGACCUGAGGCACGGCCUGAGAAUUUCCUUUUCUAACAAGUUCCCCACAGAUGUUGAUGCUGUGGGUAUAGGGGUCCCAUACUUUGAGACCCACGAGAUAGACUUAGAAAUAGGAUGCUGCCUCCACUGAUUUAUUUCCCUUUCAUUGUAUACUGUAAUGCACUGGUUGUGCAUCUAAGAAUCAUCCGCAAGGCUUAUUAAAACACAAAUCCCUGGGCCUCAACCUCAAAGAUUUGGAUUCACUAGAGCCGGGUGGAACCAAAAAUCUGAGCUUCUAACAAACUCCCAGAUGAUACAGAUGCGGCUGGAUCCAGGUCCAGAGAUCGUUGCACAGGUUCUUACUCUUGGUUAGAUCAGGAUCCUCUGAUUCUGAUGCCAGGCCCUACCUCAGGCCAAUUAAGCCAGCAAUGGGCCUGGGCACAGGUAAUUUUUUUAAAGCUCCUGGGGUGAUUCUAACAUGCAGCUGGGGCAGGAAAACAACGGUGCUGCCUAUUUCUUGGACCCCAACUGUUUCUAAUUUGAGUCACUCUUCAGCACUCCGUUAAACCCCAGUCCCCAUCCUCAGUUCCCAGGUGGGUUUGCAUAAGGGGUAGUAGACCUGCCAGGAGAUGCAGUGAGAAGCACUGAGCACUGAGGCAGGAGGAGCACAGACAGCACAGAGAAUCCUCUAAAGUGAAGUUUCUCUCUUUCUCACUGUUGUUGGGGACUCACCCUGCACCACAAAGAAGACUAGAUAAAGAAAACCACUAACCAGUAACAUCCGGCUCAGUAGGCUGAGCACAAAAGCAAGGUUUUGCUUUGGCCCUAGACCUAGAAGCCUGCUGAGUGAGCGCCUUGGCCCUAGAAAAGAGGAGCAGGGGGUUGUCCGGAGCCCCUCCGACCACGCUGCUCUCAGUCAGGCACCACAGACACAGGCAGAGCUGGCUAGAGGUCAGAGGCAUGGCCCCAGUGAGAAGCAGCAGCUGUGCCCUGUGAGCAGGGCCCUUCUGUGAGGCCAGCUGACCUGCCCAGGAACCUUGCUGCCCUCUGUUGUUGAGAGCUGCAGGGUUAGAGGCACCGCAUACCCUGAAGUGUGCGGGAGGCUGAACAGGUGCCAACACUCCACCCCUCACCAGCCCUGGACAGCUCACCUCGCCAACCCUCUGUUUCCUCAGCUUGUAAAAGGAAGAUAAUGCCACAUGAAAUGAUGAGGAAGCAUCUGCCCCACCCAAUUAAAACGUGCAAGAAUUAUCUCACACCUCACACCAUUCCCUGGAGUCCUGAGGACUUACCCAGAUACUCAGUAGGAUGGGAAAUUGGGGGUGAAAAAUGACAGUUAAUUGGAAGGGCAUGGCCUGCAGCCUGAGAGAAGUUGCUGAGUUUGGAAAGUAGGAAGGCGGUGAACUGGCCAAGGGAUCAUGAGUUUACAGCUUGUGACCACGAUGUAAAGGAAGGACCGGUCCCAUUCCACACCUGAUCCUUAGGGGCCUCAGGCCUCUGGGUUUGGCAGCUGGGAUUGGUAUUGUUCUGUGUCAUCCACAAUGAUCUCUGCCAAAGAGGGCCUGAAGAUACAGGCUUCCUUCCUGCUUGCCAGCUUCAGAAUGGCUCGGGUGUUCCCAGAACUGGCCAAUCUAUGCACCUAGAACUGAGGCUUGACACUCCCCAGGUUCAGGGCAGUCCUAGAAGCAAGCUAAAGCCUCUCCCCUUGGGGUAGAUCUCCAAGGCUGGCAUCCUGGGAGCUUGGUGCAUAAGGCUGAUUCACCUGCCACAGGACCUAUGAGCUCUGUGUGUGUCCCCAGUGGCAAGGGCAUUGACCCUGGGCUACCUGUCCCAGUCACAAUUCUGGACCCCUGCUCUGAGGGCUAUAUUUAGAGGAAUUGUACCCCGACUUCCCUGCCAACCUAGAGACACACACACCCUAUCUCAGGACCUCACAGGAACUCAUCCUAGUCUUCAAGUAUCAGAGUCGUUCACCCAUUUAUUCAUCCAUAUACUCAACAAAUAACUAUUAUGAAUCUCCAUGAGCCAGACACUGAACCUGGGGCUACAUCAGUAAACAAGACCAUCCCAGACUCUGCCCUCAGGAAGCUAGCCAGUGAGUGGGGAAGCUCUAUAAAGCAGACAGUUGCAAGAUCCUGUAAUUACGGUGAGAGGAAAGAGAAAUAUUUUGGGAGAUGCAUGCCAAUGACUGUGGCCUGAAGUUUGACCUUUUCUCCAUCAGGCAGUCAUAAUGGAAGAUGCUUACCCACCCCUGUCCUGGGGUAGGAGGGAUAGCAGAUGGGAUGGCAGUGUCAUUUAGAAAAUUGCCUUCAAAAUGUCUAUUUUUAUAAUGUAGGCUACAGAAAGUACAGUUCCACACAGUGUUUUGUUAUUUUGGCCUUUUGGACAAAGAAGUCAUAUGUAUACUGGUGUGGUAUAGGAGAGAAUUACUGCAGGGUCCCUGAAUUUACAAAGAUCAGGGAAUCCAAGGUGGAAAAACCAGGGCAUGGAACCCACCAAGAAAAUGUUUCAAGAAGUCCCCUGAGACCCUGGGGUGGGGAUUGCUCCUGCAAUGCAGCGGGUGUCAGUCCUGUGAGUGGGCAGGAUGCAGAGGCCUCUGGCUAAACCACACAAGGUGCUGCCAGACUCCCUGGGCUGGAGGAAGCCCUGCCCCUGUGUGUGCAAGCAUCACCCUCCCGUGACAUGUGAUGAUGUCUCAUGGUAACUGAUGGCCUCAAGGCACCCACCAAACCUAUAUGAAGCAACCAGCACCACGCAGAGGGUGGGACCUGAUGGAGUGACUUGAUGAAGUUUAAUGGGAGGACAAGGCUUGGCCUAGAGUGUUGCCUUCCAUUGGUGUGGCCCAGCAUGCAACGGCACACUCCCUGCUGCCAGCUGGAAUGCCACCAUGACUCACUUGGGCUCACCAUGGCAUCUCCAAACAAGACAUCGGAAUUUGUAAACUGUCCCCACUCCAGGGGCUGAAUUCAUGCCUUUUCACCUAGUCUCAAGGACAGGGAUGCUUUACAGCAGUGCUUUCCAAACAAAUCCCCUGGGGACCUACUUAAUGCAAAUUCUGAUUCUGAAGGUCUGGGUGGGACUGAGAUGUUUCAUUUCUAAACAAGUUCCAGGGGAUGUCAAUGUUGCUGAUCUGGGGACCACACUGUGAGUAGCAAGACCUGAAAACAUUCACCAAAGUGAGUGAAAUUUAACCUUCACUUCUCCUUCACAAGGAAGGAUGAUCGGCUCCACCAUCUGGUGCUCACUCAGCAAGCAUUUGUUGAGCCUAGGAACUGAGAUAAUGGUAACACCAUUGGCGGAAAUAAUGAAGUCAGAGACAGGAACUGUUGUUUUAGGAGAAAUAAUAAUAAUUACCUUUGCUUGAAUGCCUGUCCUGUUCUAUGAUCUUGUUUGAUCCUUAUAUUUGGAAGGUAGAUAUUAUUAAUCUUCAUUAAUUUCAUAGUGGAAUUAGGCUCAAAAAGGUGAAGUGAUUUUCCCUGAGGUGUCAUUGCUGGCUGGAAAUUGAACCUGGUCUAUUAAACUCCAAAAUCUACCUGAUCCCACUGUGAAGCAGUUCCUUGUUCUAGAGAGUGGGGAAUUAGCGUUAAGUAGAUUCAGCAUAGUGGUUCGCAACCCUGCCUGCACGUUAGAAUCACCAAGAAAACUUUAAACCCCCCCACACCCCAAACUAAUUACAAUAGACUCUCUAGGGGAGGGAUGCUCUAUCCACAUUUUUUAAAGCUCUCCAGGUAAUUCCAAUGUGCAGACAAGCCUGGGAAUCGCUGAGUUAGCCCAACUCUUCUCCUAAGAAGUGAGCAAUUGAGAAGCCAAUAAAUGAAAUGGCAACCUUGUCAGAACUAGUAUCUCUCCAUUCCUUCUCCAGGACUGUUUCCAAUAAACUGGCUAAACAUAACAUGCUGUAGUGGGAUGAAGCAGAAUGGGAAAGAAAGUAGGAUACAGGAAUUUGCCAAGGGAAAAUACAUAAGGAGCUGAGAAUCCAAGCCAACACUGGAGGCAACACACAUUUAGGAGCUGAGGAGAAGAUUCUGAAAGAUAGAGAAUUUCACCAAACUAAAAUCCUUAACAUCAAGAACAACAUUUCUUCAUUUAGGAAUCCUCCUGUGUUUGGCAUCUCUUACACGAUGGAUGAGUGAACGGAGGAAAUGAGAAAGGUGGUGUGGCUCUAAUGGACAAGAAAGUUCAGAAGCCAAGUUGAGUAGGAAAUGGGUGUCACAUUGGGAUUGAGGAAAGGCAUAAUAACAGUUCUUAUGUCCUCUUACGUAUAUUUGAUGAACUGCCUCAAAAUCUUUCUGGAAAGAGAGGUCCAUUAGGAAUGGAGAGAGCUAUUGGAUCCUGACUUCAUCAUCCGGUACCUUCCGGCCCAGAUGGGACUGUGCAUCCAGGGAGAAGUUUGUCCCCUUAUUCAAGCCAGGAGGAAGGUUCCAUUUGGAAACCCCCAAGGUAAACCAGUGCUGAUUGAGAGGGGCUGACAUCAGAAUGGGGGCACCUCUACAUGUUCGGCACGGUGCUUUGAAGAUGUCAUCCCUCAUCACAACUUUAUAAAGGAAGAAAAGUUACCCCACUUUACACUGAGGAAUCUGAGGCUCAGAAACUGGAAAAAAUGUUGGAAGGAGAUUUGCCUGAACCUGGAAACUCUUAUUAUGAACCUAGACCUAUACACACCCUACCUCAGCUGCUCGGGAGGCACUUGGAGGAAGGAUGUCCCAAGCCGGCAAGAACCCUGUGGUCUGGCGGGUGUCCAGCGGGUGGAGCCAGAGAGCUCCCAGCCAUGGGCCACCUAGCUGAAGGCUGAUAAGUACUAUCUGCACAUCCAAGCAGGCAGGAGACCCAGAUAAAAGACCUAUGACAUCUGCAUGGCUGGCUGUGGGAUUACAUAUAUAUAUUAUAUAUAUAUUUAAAAGUAUAUGUAUAUAUGUAUAUAUAUUACAU
rnacentral:lncRNA from 1 species